rnacentral:rRNA from 1 species
GAUGAACGCUGGCGGCGUGCCUAAUACAUGCAAGUCGAGCGAACGGACGAGAAGCUUGCUUCUCUGAUGUUAGCGGCGGACGGGUGAGUAACACGUGGAUAACCUACCUAUAAGACUGGGAUAACUUCGGGAAACCGGAGCUAAUACCGGAUAAUAUUUUGAACCGCAUGGUUCAAAAGUGAAAGACGGUCUUGCUGUCACUUAUAGAUGGAUCCGCGCUGCAUUAGCUAGUUGGUAAGGUAACGGCUUACCAAGGCAACGAUGCAUAGCCGACCUGAGAGGGUGAUCGGCCACACUGGAACUGAGACACGGUCCAGACUCCUACGGGAGGCAGCAGUAGGGAAUCUUCCGCAAUGGGCGAAAGCCUGACGGAGCAACGCCGCGUGAGUGAUGAAGGUCUUCGGAUCGUAAAACUCUGUUAUUAGGGAAGAACAUAUGUGUAAGUAACUGUGCACAUCUUGACGGUACCUAAUCAGCAAGCCACGGCUAACUACGUG